AUGCGGGCAGUUUGCACACAUGGGGAUGCUUUGCUGCCAUGCCUUGAGGGUUAUUUGGUGAUGGAUCACAUUGGCGUGCAGGAGAUACCAAAGCGGCACAUUUUAAGAAGGUGGACAAAAGAUGCUAGGGACAUCUUGCCACAACACAUUGCUCACUUCCAGAAAGGCCAGGCUGCUAAUCAAUCAUUUACCCGUCGGAGUUUGACUCUGUACCUGUAUGCUAUGGAACUGGUGUGGAUUGGAGACUCGUCAGUCGCUUCGUACGAGCUGGUACUAUCAAAGAUCAAAGACCUGAUCAUAGAGGCAUCUCCUUUGGCUGAAAACAGGGAUGGUUUAGGGAUUGAGGAUAAGAUAGCUGCAGAAGCAAGCAAAAAGAACAAUGGAUCAGGUAUGCCAGUGGGAAGCAUCAAUCCGGAUAUGGUUGACAAUGAGAACAACAUGACCGCAUCUGGCAACUGGGAUGCGCUCGCUGGUGUCAACUCCACUCAAGAAACAUGGUGUUGGACGACCAUGCUCGAGCAGAGAGAAAGCAACGUAUUAAGGCCUGAGCAGGAGGACUAG
rnacentral:rRNA from 1 species